UACGUAGGGGGCUAGCGUUGUCCGGAAUCAUUGGGCGUAAAGAGCGUGUAGGCGGCCCGGUAAGUCCGCUGUGAAAGUCGGGGGCUCAACCCUCGAAUGCCGGUGGAUACUGUCGGGCUAGAGUGCGGAAGAGGCGAGUGGAAUUCCUGGUGUAGCGGUGAAAUGCGCAGAUAUCAGGAGGAACACCGAUCGCGAAGGCAGCUCGCUGGGACGUAACUGACGCUGAGACGCGAAAGCGUGGGGAGCAAACAGG
rnacentral:rRNA from 1 species